GUGAGCUGUGGAGGAUCCUUCCAUUCGUGGCUCCAGGAAGAAUUGAAGCAGCUCACAAAACCCAGAAGCCUGAAAAGUCAAAAACCCGGAAGUCUGGCCGGAUGUGGUGGCCGGAUGUGGUGCUGUAAUCCUAGCACUUUUGGAGGCUGAGGAGGGAGGAUUGCUUAAGCCAGGAGUUCAAGACCAGCCUGGGCAACAUAGUGAGAUUCCACCUCUACAAAAAAUAAAAAUAAACAAAUUAGCUGGAUGUCAUAGUACACGCCUGCAGUCCCAGCUAUUUGAAAGGCUGAGGCAAGGAGGAUUGCUUGAACCCAAGAGGUUGAGGAUGCAGUGAGCUAUGAUCACACCACUGCACUCCAGCUUGGGUGACAGAGCAAGACCUUGUCUCAAACAACAACAAAACCCAGAAGUCUGAAAAGUUACAACGUGAAAGAGGGAAGUGAAGGGAAAAAUCAUGGUAGGAAAGAAUGAAGCCAGCAGUCCCCACUCACUGAGCUAGAAGACCUGGAACACUAGACAGAGGUGGUUCUGAGCUCUCUAGUGGCUGAGGAGAGGAGUGAAAGCGGACCCCAGCCCCUGAUCCAGCAUGGGAGGAUGAAAGCAAGGCCAUUGUUCUGGAGACACUUUCUGGUUGUCAUCAUACAGGCUCCCUGGAGGAUGUGUCUCCUUCCCCUUCAGAAUUUAGCUCUUCUACUUCCCCUGGGCUGGUGUGGAUACAUUGUCUGUGCUUUGACUCAAGUCCCUAGAUCCCAUUUGUUCUAGAACCCUCUCUCCCAAAGCAGACCUUUUUUUUUUUUUUCCUGUUUUCUGUUUUUUAAAUCUAUCUCAGCCUCUUGACAAGCAAUAAGAUUUGGAAUAUUUGUUAAGGGGAUAAAUAAAUGAACUCCUUAGUCAGUGCAGAGA